CCUACGGGUGGCAGCAGUGAGGAAUAUUGGUCAAUGGACGAGAGUCUGAACCAGCCAAGUAGCGUGAAGGAUGACUGCCCUAUGGGUUGUAAACUUCUUUUAUAUGGGAAUAAAAUGUUCCACGUGUGGGAUUUUGUAUGUACCAUAUGAAUAAGGAUCGGCUAACCCCGUGCCAGCAGCCGCGGUAAUACGGAGGAUCCGAGCGUUUUCCGGUUUUAUUGGGUUUAAAGGGAGCGUAGGUGGAUUAUUAAGUCAGUUGCGAAAGGUUGCGGAUCAACCGUAAAAUUGCAGUUGAAACGGGCAGUCUUGAGGACAGUAGAGGUGGGCGGAAUUCGUGGUGUAGCGGUGAAAUGCUUAGAUAUCACGAAGAAAUCCGAUUGCGAAGGCAGUUCACUGGACUGCAACUGACACUGAGGCUCGAAAGUGUGGGUAUCAAACAGGAUUAGAUACCCCAGUAGUC
rnacentral:rRNA from 1 species